rnacentral:rRNA from 1 species
UCGAGAAUCUUUAGCAAUGGGCGAAAGCCUGACUAUGCGACGCCGCGUGAGGGAUGAAGGAUUUCGGUUCGUAAACCUCUUUUGGCAGGGAAGAAAAUGUUGCAGUUAAUAGCUGCAAAACUGACGGUACCUGCAGAAUAAGCCACGGCUAACUCCGUGCCAGCAGCCGCGGUAAUACGGAGGUGGCUAGCGUUACUCGGAAUUAUUGGGUGUAAAGGGCAAGUAGGCGGCUUGGUAAGUAGGGGGUGAAAUACUCCGGCUCAAUCGGAGAACUGCCUUCUAAACUGCCAGGCUUGAGUGUGACAGAGGAAAAUGGAAUUCUCGGUGUAAGGGUGAAAUCUGUAGAUAUCGAGAAGAACACCAGCGGCGAAGGCGAUUUUCUGGGUCACUACUGACGCUAAAUUGCGAAAGCUAGGGGAGCAAACAGAAUUAGAUACCCCUGUAGUCC